rnacentral:rRNA from 1 species
ACAUCCUGCGGGAGGCAGCAGUGGGGAAUAUUGGACAAUGGGCGCAAGCCUGAUCCAGCCAUGCCGCGUGAGUGAUGAAGGCCCUAGGGUUGUAAAGCUCUUUCACCGGUGAAGAUAAUGACGGUAACCGGAGAAGAAGCCCCGGCUAACUUCGUGCCAGCAGCCGCGGUAAUACGAAGGGGGCUAGCGUUGUUCGGAUUUACUGGGCGUAAAGCGCACGUAGGCGGACUAUUAAGUCAGGGGUGAAAUCCCGGGGCUCAACCCCGGAACUGCCUUUGAUACUGGUAGUCUUGAGUUCGAGAGAGGUGAGUGGAAUUCCGAGUGUAGAGGUGAAAUUCGUAGAUAUUCGGAGGAACACCAGUGGCGAAGGCGGCUCACUGGCUCGAUACUGACGCUGAGGUGCGAAAGCGUGGGGAGCAAACAGGAUUAGAUACCCCGGUAGUCCCAU